rnacentral:rRNA from 1 species
GAGUUUGAUCGUGGCUCAGAUUGAACGCUGGCGGCAUGCCUUACACAUGCAAGUCGAACGGCAGCACGGGAGCUUGCUCCUGGUGGCGAGUGGCGAACGGGUGAGUAAUGCAUCGGAACGUAUCCUGGAGUGGGGGAUAACGUAGCGAAAGUUACGCUAAUACCGCAUAUUCUGUGAGCAGGAAAGCGGGGGACCUUCGGGCCUCGCGCUCUUGGAGCGGCCGAUGUCGGAUUAGCUAGUUGGUGAGGUAAAGGCUCACCAAGGCGACGAUCCGUAGCAGGUCUGAGAGGAUGAUCUGCCACACCGGAACUGAGACACGGUCCAGACUCCUACGGGAGGCAGCAGUGGGGAAUUUUGGACAAUGGGGGCAACCCUGAUUCAGCCAUGCCGCGUGAGUGAAGAAGGCC